rnacentral:rRNA from 1 species
CCUACGGGUGGCAGCAGUGGGGAAUAUUGGACAAUGGGCGAAAGCCUGAUCCAGCCAUGCCGCGUGUGUGAAGAAGGCCUUCGGGUUGUAAAGCACUUUCAGUGGGGAAGAAAGCCUUGGGGCUAAUACCCUCGAGGAAGGACAUCACCCACAGAAGAAGCACCGGCUAACUCCGUGCCAGCAGCCGCGGUAAUACGGAGGGUGCGAGCGUUAAUCGGAAUUACUGGGCGUAAAGCGCGCGUAGGCGGUCUGAUAAGCCGGUUGUGAAAGCCCCGGGCUCAACCUGGGAACGGCAUCCGGAACUGUCAGGCUAGAGUGCAGGAGAGGAAGGUAGAAUUCCCGGUGUAGCGGUGAAAUGCGUAGAGAUCGGGAGGAAUACCAGCGGCGAAGGCGGCCUUCUGGACUGACACUGACGCUGAGGUGCGAAAGCGUGGGUAGCAAACAGGAUUAGAUACCCUAGUAGUC